GCCUCGCCUUGGCCGAGUGGGAGCGCUCGCGACUUUGAUUCGUAAGGUCGUGGGUUCAAGACCCGCCACGGUCUGAGGCU